GAAGAAGGAAGAGAAGCAAUAUCUGGAUAAAAGCUUCGAUACUGGAACUCAUGGUGCUAGAGAUACUUCUGUAUGGCAAACAGAUGAGCUUAGGCACCAUAAACCCACACCAGGUGAUGAAGCUAGGGCAGGUUUGAACAUUGUGGAGCAGUCCCUUUGGAAAGCUGUACCUCAUUAUUUACGUCGUGUCAGCGAUGCUUUAAAGAAGGUUUGUCUUCAAAUUCAUUUCUGGGAUUGAUCUGUUUCCAGUUCUUUAUAUGCAAAUACUACCUGAUGAAGAAUACAAGCA